UACAUAGGGGGCAAGCGUUAUUCGGAAUUAUUGGGCGUAAAGGGCGCGUAGGCGGCCUGGCAAGUGUGAUGUGAAAUCCCUCGGCUUAACCGAGGAACUGCCCUCCAAACUGCUUGGCUUGAGUCCGGGAGAGGUGAGUGGAAUUCCCAGUGUAGCGGUGAAAUGCGUAGAUAUUGGGAGGAACACCAGUGGCGAAGGCGGCUCACUGGACCGGAACUGACGCUGAGGCGCGAAAGCGUGGGGAGCAAACAGG
rnacentral:rRNA from 1 species